rnacentral:misc_RNA from 1 species
UGGCAAGCUGCUUUGGCUCCAUUUUUGUUGGAAUCCCAUGAAACAAAUUUACUGGUUUACUGUUAUUUAGGUGCUGUGUUUGGUCCUCAACAAACCUCAAUUUUGGGUUUUCAAAACUGAAUAUGUUGUUCUGAUCAACAAGAGCCAUGGAUAUGCUAGAUUUUGCGGUUGGCCUAUGAAGUCCCGUUGCUUGGAGGGCAGCAAGACUUUGUGGCG